UCGUCAUCGUAGGGUUAGUCGGGACCUAAGUCGAGUCCGAAAGGGGUAGACGAUGGCAAAUAGGUUAAUAUUCCUAUACCGACAUACAAUCGUUUGAGUGAUGGGGGGACGCAUAGAGUUAAAGGGGGUCACUGAUGGAAUAGUGGCUCGAAGGACGUAGGUUGWGAAGUAGGCAAAUCCGCUUCWCAUGMRACCGAGAUCUUACAGGCAGUUCAAUCUCUUCGGAGAGCGGACUGAACCCUUGAUACUGUCGUGCCGAGAAAAGCCUCUAAACGAGAUUGUAUGUUGCCCGUACCGUAAACCGACACAGGUGGGUGAGAUGAGUAUUCUAAGGCGCGUGGAUGAACCCUGGUUAAGGAACUCUGCAAACUAGCACCGUAUCUUCGGUAUAAGGUGUGCCUACAUUGUUAAGGGAUUUACUCCCUAAAGCAAUCUAAGGUCGCAGCAAAGUGUCCCUCCCGACUGUUUAC
rnacentral:rRNA from 1 species